rnacentral:rRNA from 1 species
UACCAGCACCCCGAGUGGUCGGGACGGUUUAUUGGGCCUGAAAGCAUCCGUAGCCGGUUCUACAAGUCUUCCGUUAAAUCCAACUGCUUAACAGGUGGGCUGCGGAAGAUACUAUAGAGCUAGGAGGCGGGAGAGGCAAGCGGUACUCGAUGGGUAGGGGUAAAAUCCGUUGAUCCAUUGAAGACCACCAGUGGCGAAGGCGGCUUGCCAGAACGCGCUCGACGGUGAGGGAUGAAAGCUGGGGGAGCAAACCGG